AGAGUUUGAUCCUGGCUCAGGACGAACGCUGGCGGCGUGCCUAAUACAUGCAAGUCGAGCGAAUCAGAAGAAGCUUGCUUCUUUUGGUUAGCGGCGGACGGGUGAGUAACACGUGGGCAACCUGCCUGUAAGACUGGGAUAACUUCGGGAAACCGGAGCUAAUACCGGAUAAUCCUUUUCCUCACAUGAGCAAAAGCUGAAAGACGGCGCAAGCUGUCACUUACAGAUGGGCCCGCGGCGCAUUAGCUAGUUGGUGAGGUAACGGCUCACCAAGGCGACGAUGCGUAGCCGACCUGAGAGGGUGAUCGGCCACACUGGGACUGAGACACGGCCCAGACUCCUACGGGAGGCAGCAGUAGGGAAUCUUCCGCAAUGGACGAAAGUCUGACGGAGCAACGCCGCGUGAGCGAUGAAGGCCUUCGGGUCGUAAAGCUCUGUUGUUAGGGAAGAACAAGUAUCGGAGUAACUGCCGGUACCUUGACGGUACCUAACCAGAAAGCCACGGCUAACUACGUGCCAGCAGCCGCGGUAAUACGUAGGUGGCAAGCGUUGUCCGGAAUUAUUGGGCGUAAAGCGCGCGCAGGCGGUUCCUUAAGUCUGAUGUGAAAGCCCCCGGCUCAACCGGGGAGGGUCAUUGGAAACUGGGGAACUUGAGUACUGAAGAGGAAAGCGGAAUUCCACGUGUAGCAGUGAAAUGCGUAGAUAUGUGGAGGAACACCAAUGGCGAAGGCAGCCCCCUGGGAUAACACUGACGCUCAUGCACGAAAGCGUGGGGAGCAAACAGGAUUAGAUACCCUGGUAGUCCACGCCCUAAACGAUGUCAACUAGUUGUUGGGGAUUUACUUCCUUGGUAACGUAGCUAACGCGUGAAGUUGACCGCCUGGGGAGUACGGCCGCAAGGUUAAAACUCAAAGGAAUUGACGGGGACCCGCACAAGCGGUGGAUGAUGUGGAUUAAUUCGAUGCAACGCGAAAAACCUUACCUACCCUUGACAUGGCAGGAACUUUCCAGAGAUGGAUUGGUGCUCGAAAGAGAACCUGCACACAGGUGCUGCAUGGCUGUCGUCAGCUCGUGUCGUGAGAUGUUGGGUUAAGUCCCGCAACGAGCGCAACCCUUGUCAUUAGUUGCUACGAAAGGGCACUCUAAUGAGACUGCCGGUGACAAACCGGAGGAAGGUGGGGAUGACGUCAAGUCCUCAUGGCCCUUAUGGGUAGGGCUUCACACGUCAUACAAUGGUCGGUACAGAGGGUUGCCAAGCCGCGAGGUGGAGCCAAUCCCAGAAAACCGAUCGUAGUCCGGAUCGCAGUCUGCAACUCGACUGCGUGAAGUCGGAAUCGCUAGUAAUCGCGGAUCAGAAUGCCGCGGUGAAUACGUUCCCGGGUCUUGUACACACCGCCCGUCACACCAUGGGAGUGGGUUCUACCAGAAGUGGCUAGUCUAACCGCAAGGAGGACGGUCACCACGGUAGGAUUCAUGACUGGGGUGAAGUCGUAACAAGGUAGCCGU
rnacentral:rRNA from 1 species